GUCAAUGGGCAGGGAGUUCCAGAGUGUAGGAGCUGCCCCAGUAAAAUACUGGAUCCUUACAAAUGCAGAAUGUGCAUUGCAUUGCACCUGCAAAAGUGUAAGUUCCAUAAAACAAAGUGGUUGAGUGGGCAUAUAUGGGCUAAGGCAAUCCUGCAAGUGAACUGGUCCCAAGAUGCUAAAGGCUUUAUGUACUAACCCUUACACCUUGAACUUGGCCAGUGAUGAAUUGGUAGCCAGUGCAGACCUUUAAACAGCAGUGUUAUGUGCUGGCAGGAUCUUAUCCCUGUCAACAACCAUGCUGAAAAUUUCUGCACCAACUGCAGGUUCCAGACAAUCUUGGAAGUCACUAGUACCCGCACUGCUGUGCUUAUGGUCUCCUAUCAGUGAUAAAUUUAGAUCCUGAAGCACCCCCAAACCACAUCCUGUCCAGAACUUCAUCCUGUCCAAUUUCUCAGAAAUGGGAACUACUCACCCACAACUCCUCUGACUUCCUUGGAUUCAAGCUCAGCCUAAUUUCCCUUAUCCCUCCCACCUCUUCAUUCUGACAGCAGUCCAGGGUUUGGAGGCCCUCACCUGAUGCAGAUGCUAAGCAGUAAUAGAGCUGAGUGCUGUAAUAGCCUUGGUGCUUUGCCUCAAAUCGCCUAAUGACUGCUCCCAGUGGCUUCUUAUAGAUAUUAAACAGCACUGAGGAUACAACAAGUGCAUUGAGGCACCCCAUAGUAUAACUCUCCAAAUGCUACUCUCUGAAUUUGGCCAUGUAGAUAGAACUGAAGCUGCAUUAGCACAGGGCCCCCAAUUCCCAUCCCAUAGGGCAGGAGGAUACCAUGGUCAAAAGCAGCUGAGAGAUAAGAAGCAGGAGCAAGGUCACACUUGUCCCACUCUCAGUAACGGCUACCCAUCAGGGCAACCAAGGCCAAUAAUUGACUUUGGCAGUCAUGCCUAGACGCAGAUUAAAAUGGGUUCAGAUAGUCUACGUCAUCCAAGAAUACCUUCAGCUGGCCCACUAUAUAUUAACAUGCUUUUCUACUGAAUAGGUUUCUUUUCCAGAAAUUGUGGUUUACUGUGUUAGGUUUCAAUCAUUUUGUGACAAUUAAUUUUGCAAGUACAAAUUGAAACCGGCAAAAUAUUAUGGUCCUAGGUUGUGAUGACUCCCUCAUUCUCUUAGAAUGGAAAUGGUGCCCACCUGAGAGGUGCCAGAACUGAGUACCAAUGAUGCCUCACUCGUGGGGAGUGGUAGAUGAAGAGAAAAGGAAGAGACCGCUCUCUGCAACACACACAGCAUGGAGGUUUUCAAAAAUAAAAUGCCUUCUCUUCUUGAAAAAAUG